AGUCACUGACAUUACGAUACCCCGGUAGUCCCAGCCGUAAACUAUGCGCGUUAGGUGUAUCGGUGACCACGAGUUACCGAGGUGCCGAAGGGAAACCGUGAAACGUGCCGCCUGGGAAGUACGGUCGCAAGGCUGAAACUUAAGGAAUUGGCGGGGAGCACCACAACAGGUGGAGCCUGCGGUUUAAUUGGACUCAACGCCGGGAAGCUCACCGGAUAGGACAGCAGAAUGAUUGCCGGGCUGAAGACCCUGCAUGACUAGCUG
rnacentral:rRNA from 1 species